rnacentral:rRNA from 1 species
AUGGCGCCCUCCGAGCCUGCUCAGCCGACUGCUCCUCACCCCAACGCCACCCUUUGGGCGCAGGCCACCGCCAUCCCCAACGCCCGCUCUCUCGUCCCCAUUGUCCUCGAGUUCAAGAGCGCCGUCUUCCCCAAGUGGAGGACCUUCUUCAACAUCGCCGUCACCACCUACGCCCUCGAGGAUCACCUCACCUCCGAGACGCCCUCCACCGACCGAACGUGGCUCCGCCUCGACGCCCUCGUGCUCCGCUCGCUCUAUGGCUCCAUGGCCAUGGACAUCGUCGACCUCGUCAUGCCUACCGACCCCGCCACCGCCACGGCGUACAAGGUCGGGACCGCCGUCAUCGCGCUCUUCAACGACAACCAAAAGAACCGCGAGAUUUAUCUCGCCGAGGAGUUCCACAACAUUAAGCAGGAGGAUCGGUCCAUCACCGAGUACCUUCACCUGCAGAAGACGGCGGCUGACGCCCUCGCCGAGGUCGGUGCGCCCGUCUCCGAUCCCGAGCUCGUCACCAACGUCAUCAAGGGCCUCCACGAGCGUUUCGACAGCGUCGCCGACAUCGCCCCCCUCCUCGUGCCGUUCCCUACCUUCCUCAACUUUUGCAACAUGCUGCUGCUCCACGAGAUGAAGGCCUCUCGGCGCUCCAACAACACCUCGCCCUCUGCCUUUUACGCCGCCAAAGGACCCGUCCCCGCUCCUUCCAGCGUCGGCCGCUCGUCCUCCGGAGGCGGCGGUGGUGCUCCUUCCGGUUCGGCCGGCGGCCAGCUAUGGCGGGCUCCUGCUCCCGCCCGCAAUCCUCAUGCCACCGGCUAUGGCAAGGGGAAGGGCAAGAACAAGGGAUACAAGUCCGCCGGUGGCGCUCCUCCCAUGCCAACUCCGUUCAAUCCUUGGACAGGAGCCAUCCAGAUGUGGCCCAUGCAGUCCCGCCCCACCAACCCCGGCGGCAUCCUCGGACGGGCUCUGGGCCCCCGCGCUCACGCCUACAUGGCCGCUCCACUGGCUGCUCCCGGAACCCACUACGGCGGUUACGGCUCCGUCCCAUACGGCGCCGCGCUGCCCUACGCUGCGCCACCAACACCGGCACCAUCAUGGGACACCGCUGCUCUCGCCCAACACUUCACCAACAUGACGUUGCAGCAGCCCGCUCCCAAGUGGGUCAUGGACAGCGGCGCGACCGCCCACCUUUUCUCCGAUGCCGGUAUCUUAUCCUCCCUUUCUCAUCAUCCUAUAUAUCGUCACAUGCCCACCACCGCAGCCACAUACGACUUCCUCGCCGACGAUGACACACUACCCAUAGUUGUCCCGCAUCUUCCGAUCGUCACUCCUACUCCUACCCCGCCACCCUCCCCACCACCCACCCCUCCAUCACCACCCGCACCACCCUCACCACCUGCCCCUCCCUCACCGGAUGCUCCUCCCGAACCAGGCGCCCCACCCACUCAUCGCACGCGCAACACCUCCGGCAUACACAAGGGCCCUCGCGAGCGGCUUAACCUGCAUGUUUCCUUUGUCAGUAGGCAGCAAAGUCGUUUGUAUGGGAGAAGGGUGUCGGACGGACCGGCCUCCUAUGUCCGCUUGGCAGAGGAAGCGGCGGUUCGCCUACUUCUCAAGCUCCUAAUGGAUGGAUAUGUCUUGCAGCUCCACGACCUCUUCUGCUUGGGCGAUUUCAAACUCCACCAGCACGUUGUCCAUGCCAAAUCCGGCAGUCGGAGGCACCGGCAGCCUUGCUUGCAUCAUCUUCCUCCUCUACUGCUUCGUGUCCUCCAUGUCUACAUCUGGCGCCUGCUCCUCCUCCUAGUCCAGCUCCCUCCGACAUGGUGGACGCCACAGGGCAUAAACGGUUAUAUCCACCCCAGAUAUAGGUUGCAUAUGAGGGUUGUCAGCCAACCCCGACGUAUAGCGCCGAAACUCAAGGAGUACGAUCUUUCAGGUUCUUGGAUGCGGCGACAAUACGUAGAUCUUCCCAGCAACAACACUUUUGCCAACUUGACUAGUGGCAUAGCUUGGGGUGAGAUCUUGAGGAAGACACCCAGGCUGUUUCAGUUCAUCUUGUUCCUUGUUUCUUCGCACCAACUCCUCUGGACAGGAAGAGACCUCUGUGGUCCAACAGCAGCGGGCAGCGAGUAUGGGCUUCGCCAGCCAUGUUCUUCAUACGUUUUUUGGCCUGAGACACGCACAUCUGGACCUGAGGCUGGGAACACAUGGGAGAUGAUGAUGAUAUGGAUAGCCUAUCUUGCUUCCGUUUCUCUAGCCACAAGCAUGUGUGGGACGCAAGAACAAUGCUUAGCCAUACUGGGCAGCCCUCCUCCUUCAACAGCAUAUAGUGGAAGGCAUCAAAGGCGUUUGUAUGGGAGAAGAGGAAGAGGGGCAAACAACAAACUACAAGGACUAAGGGCACAUCGCAUCAUAGCAGAAACCCGUGGAGGCGAUGAUCUCGGAGCUCUUGGAUGCGGCGAUGAUGCUUGUAGAUCUUCCCAGCGGCAGCACUUGUGCCGACUUGACUGGUGGCAUAGCGUGGUGUUGACGCUUGAAGAAGGCUACCAUCUUUUUUUCUUGACAAAACAAGAAGGCUACCAUCUUGGUGCUCUGCGGAGGAGGGUGAUAGAUGAGGAAGAUCGGGUUGGAGCUGGAAGUGAACUCUUCGAAAUCAUAAGGGGCCUGGUGAGGGUAUUCAUCAGUGAGAGGGUGAGGGAGUGCGCUUUGAUGAACUCGCCCAGGCUCGCCGCCGCCCCUGCGCCCGCGCCAGCCCCAGAGCCAAGCUCGCCGCGGGCCCCCUGCGUCCGCCUCGCGCCCCCCUGGAGCCAGGCCUGCCGCCGCUGCCCUAACCGCGGCCGUCCACCACCACCCCCUGCCCCCGGAGCCAAGGUAAUUACAAGAAGAAGAAAGUUGAAAAAAAGAAGAAGAAGUAGAAGAAGAAGAAAAAGGAAAAAAAGGAAGAAGAAUAAGAAGAAAGUUGAAAAACAGAACAAGAAAGGAAGAAGGAGAAGAGGAGGAGGAGGAAGGAGAAGAAAGAAAAAGGAUAACAAGAAAAGAAGAGAGGUGGAGAAGAAGAAGAUGGAAAGGAAAAGGAAGAAUGCAUCAUUGCUGAAUUGUAGAGGCUGA